rnacentral:rRNA from 1 species
AGCUCCAAUAGCGUAUCUUAAAGUUGCUGCAGUUAAAAAGCUCCUAGUUGGAUCUCGGGACCGAGCUGACGGUCCGCCGCCAGGCGAGCCACCGUCCGUCCCAGCCCCUGCCUUCCGGCGCCCCCUCGAUGCUCUUAGCUGAGUGUCCCGCUUGGGGUCCGGAGCGUUUACUUUGAAAAAAAUAGAGUGUUCAAAGCAGGCCGCCGUCGCCUGAAUACCGCAGCUAGGAAUAAUGGAAUAGGACCCCGGUUCUAUUUUGUGGGUUUUAUUAUCUGAACUGGGGCCAUGAUUAAGAGGGACGGUCGGGGGCAUUCGUAUUGCGCCGCUAGAGGUGAAAUUCUUGGACCGGCGCAAGACGGACAAAAGCGAAAGCAUUUGCCAAGGAUGUUUUCA